UACAGAGGUCUCAAGCGUUGUUCGGAUUCAUUGGGCGUAAAGGGUGCGCAGGCGGCGCUGUAAGUCGGGUGUGAAAUUUCGGAGCUUAACUCCGAAACUGCAUUCGAUACUGCGGUGCUUGAGGACUGGAGAGGAGACUGGAAUUCAUGGUGUAGCAGUGAAAUGCGUAGAGAUCAUGAGGAAGACCAGUGGCGAAGGCGGGUCUCUGGACAGUUCCUGACACUGAGGCACGAAGGCCAGGGGAGCAAACGGG
rnacentral:rRNA from 1 species